rnacentral:rRNA from 1 species
UAGGGAAUCUUCCGCAAUGGGCGAAAGCCUGACGGAGCAACGCCGCGUGAGGGAUGAAGGUCUUCGGAUCGUAAAACUCUGUUAUUAGGGAAGAACAAAUGUGUAAGUAACUAUGCACGUCUUGACGGUACCUAAUCAGAAAGCCACGGCUAACUACGUGCCAGCAGCCGCGGUAAUACGUAGGUGGCAAGCGUUAUCCGGAAUUAUUGGGCGUAAAGCGCGCGUAGGCGGUUUUUUAAGUCUGAUGUGAAAGCCCACGGCUCAACCGUGGAGGGUCAUUGGAAACUGGAAAACUUGAGUGCAGAAGAGGAAAGUGGAAUUCCAUGUGUAGCGGUGAAAUGCUCAGAGAUAUGGAGGAACACCAGUGGCGAAGGCGACUUUCUGGUCUGUAACUGACGCUGAUGUGCGAAAGCGUGGUGAUCAAACAGG